GUGUGUGUGUGUGUGUGAGUGUGUGUGAGAGAGAGACUGUGUUAGCUUGUGUGUCCACCUCACAGGCGUAGGAGCGUGGGGUGCUGCUGGUCCUCCUCUGCUGCUGCAGGCAGGGUGAUGCAGCGCCGUGCGUCAGAGUCCAGGCCACGGGUCUCAGGAGUGUCGGCCGUGUUCAAACAUUAAAAAGGGCUCCAUCGCAUCCCUGGGCCGGGGCGCAGGCUGUGGCUCCACACACACACACACACACACACACACACACACACACACACACACACACACACUCCCAGUCGUAUUUGACCCGUGGGUAGAGAGAUGGUGUGAGGGAGAGGACUAAGAGAGAGAGAGGGGGUGAAAGAGAGAGAGAGAGAGAGACUCCACUCAUCACCCUGAAGGUAACCAUACGGCACCGGCCACCCACCCACUGUGGUGAAUAUCUCGCUCUCCUUCUCCUCCUCAAUUUAAGACUUGCAUUCAAAAACAACACUGAAUCUGUGAAUACUGAGCGAGCUGAUGCAGGGCACUCUAAUAUGGAGGUCACUUCUCUGCAUACACUGAGGGGGUACUUACUGUAGGUUUUCUUUAUAAAAAGGUUUUCUUUAUAUUUGCCAAGGACAAGGAUAUUGUUGUGUAUGAUCAGCAUUUUCUUUAAAUGUCUCUUCAGAAAUUGUAAUGUAGUACCCGGUUAAUGAGAUAACUGCAUGCAUAUUUAUAGAGUGUUCAUGACUUUUGUGAGGGUGGGUGGGGGGGGGGGGGGGGGUUUAAAGCCUCGGCACUGGUUGAAGUCUCAUCCUGUUGGGGUGCCUGUAAAAAAAAUAUAUAUAUAUAUCAUGAGAUGACACGUGAGAUCCAUUGGAUGGCCAUCUUUCUGAGAUUGCAACACUGUUAGGCCUGUGUGGUCAGAGCUUUUCAAUCAUGCUCGCUCUACUGCGAUCUCCUCAUUAGUCUCACACACCAAAUGGACCGUUCUUUAUUUUAGUAUUAUGGGGAUUGGAGUUUGUGCAGGAUGGUUGAAUGACACUGGUCAUUUAAAAGAAAGUCACUUGUAGUUCCUUUUUUUUAUCAUUAUUGUUCCAACUUCAAGUCGCACAAUUGUAAUCUUUGAAAUGAUUUUGCUUUUGUUAUCAGCUUUAACUUGCUUAACCUUUUAGUAUUUAUUGCUUCAGUUAUGCCUUUGUGUUCCGAGUUGUGUUUGCUGUGACGGUAAUGGCUCCCUGUCUGUGUUAAUGAAUUGAGUAAUUCUAUGUCAUUCUAUGGUGUGUCUUGCUGCCUUGUGCACUAGGAAAAAAAAAACAUCUAUUGUGAAAUUAUAAAACUGUACAUUUCUGAUUUAAGAUCAUUUUACAAGCUUAUGUCAAUGAUUUUUAUGUCUACAGUCUAAAAUAUGAGAACGCUACUAUUUUUAUGACUAUUAGUAACUGUGUUUUGUG
ensembl:lncRNA